ensembl:lncRNA
AUUUUUUUACUGAAUUUUGUUCUAAAAAUUGGAUGCUUAAGCAUCCGCCAUGCCUCCAAUUGUUUUUGUCUGUGCUCACUAGUACAAAAAAUAUUACUGUUAGAAAGAUUUAACACUGUUUGACAUCUAUUUAUUACCCAACAACUGUGAAGGACUGUUAGAAAUUAAGAGGGGUUUGUAAAUCAUGAUGCAUUAUUUAAUGUCCUGAAAAAUAGUUGCAGUAGAUGAUUAUUGUGAGAUGUUGUUACGAUGGCUAAACAUAACUAGAAUAAGAAAUGUGUUUUAAAAUGCAGCAAAAAGCAAUAUAUGCACAGUGGUUAAAAAUACCAUAUUUCUUUAAGUAAUUUAUCUUAAUUGUAAUGAACUAGAAAGCAAAUUUUGAAAUAUUUAUUCAUUAUUAAAUUUCAGGAUGCAUGAAGACCUAAAGGACCUAAAUAUUAUCUGACAGACUACUGUAAGCCAUAGAAUCAUAGAAUCACUAAGGGUUGGAAAAGACCCACAGGUUCAUCCAGUCCAACCAUUCACCCAUCACCAAUGGUCAAAAAAAAAAAAAAAAAAGGCUGAUUUUCUCAAUGCCAAGAUCUCUUGCUAUAGCCCAGUUUUCUGCAGAUGAGUAUGUUGGACGCCUGUGCUAAGCACCAUCAGUACCACAGCCGCUUCCCUCGGAUCCUGGGUGUCUCUCUCCAGGCAGUCCCUUUGCCUGGCUGACAUGCCUGGCAGAGGAUUCCCUGAAGGGAACCUUUUCCUCACAGCUGAUGCUGAGCACCUUACGUUCUGUGUCCAUCAUCGGAUCACCUCCACAGCCCCAUUUUAUACCACUGUUACAAUGAGAAAGAAUGUAGGCAAGGAUGGAAUGAAACGAAUUUAGCAAACACAAACUGCAAGGCAUAGCCAUUAGGAAAAUCAUAGAAGCUGAAGUGAGGAUAUUUGUGGGUUUUGUUUGGGGCCUGGUGCUGAGAAGACCUACAUCCUUGCCGCUGCACAGAAAACACACCAAUGUUUCUGUGCCCCUCCACUCACCUCUCCUGCUGUAUGAAGUUGGCUGCAUCAGCCUUUGGAUGCUGGAAGGCACCACAGGUGUGAGCCAGAGAAACCCCACAGAAAAUAAAGUAGAUACCAAUGUGGCAAGGUACUGCAGUUCUUUAUGGCUCCAAAGCACUACAUGCAUCGUAUGGACACAGAUGUCCUGAGUGUUUCACCUCAUUCACCAAACAGGAAGGUUACGCACAGUAGAAAACAUCUUCUUCCAGAAGACCUUGAAAAACUGUUGGAAUGAUGACAUGUCCUACAGAAGCUGUGCUGGUAAUUCAAAUGUUUUUGAUAUGUGAUUCCUAAUUUUAGAAGUUGUGCUUGAUUUGCUUUGCUGCGGUGUUCCAGGUAGGACCUGCAGUUCAUGAAAUUGCAUGAACUACGAAUGUGAGUAAGGUGUGUUCAUCAGAAAAGGUUCAUUUACUGUUUCUUAGCAGAGCAGAGCUGGUCCAACAUCUCACCAAUCUGUCUGUUGUCUACCUUCCUUCAAUUCCUUCAGUUCUUUCAGAAGUACUCUCUGGUUAAAGUGUGGUGCUCCAGAACAGUAGUCCAUGUAAGAUUCCACAGAGCAGGGAUAAUAUCCAAUUUCUUGUUUUCCUGAAUAUAACUUCUGUUAAUGCUGGAGUGAAAGGCAACAAAAACGGUACAUCUUUAGUAAAUCUUAUGAUGUUACCAUGAAACUGUGGCUGCUAUGAACCAAGUUUUAAAGUGCCCUUCUCCUUUAAGGCAAAAGGGGAAAAGAUACCCAACCUGUUUCUACUCCAUUGCGACUGUUUUACAAACAAUGCUUUGCUUUGAACACGUAUUGUGAAAAAAUUGAAUAGUGUUAACAAUUUGAAUAUUGUGAAUAUUCUGAUAGAGUAUGCUAAUUAAAAGUCAAUUUAGUUACGUGUUUAAGAGGAAUCUGAUCUCUAUAAAUCAUUGUCCAUAGACAUUUCUACUUCUCACCCAUCCCUGGUGGCAUAUUAUUCAAGGAGUGCAAAUGUGUUCUUUAAAGUACUGAGAAAAAGUGAAAAAUAUGUUUUCUCCCCUUUUCUAUUACUGUCACCUUCAUAGCAGUUUCCUGGUUGACCAACCCUGCUCUCUGACAGUCUCUGUCACGGAAACUGGAAUGGAAUUUCAGAGCUGAUGCAGGCUGUGAGAUGGUAAUUGAGUGUGUGACUGAGCUUUUGGAAUAUGAUGUAUC